rnacentral:rRNA from 1 species
UUGAACGCUGGCGGCAUGCCUUACACAUGCAAGUCGAACGGUAAGUAGUGUAGCAAUACACUGCCUAGAGUGACGUACGGGUGCGUAACACGUAUGCAACCUACCCAUAACAGGAGGAUAGCUCCCCGAAAGGGGAAUUAACCCUCCAUAGUAUAAUUGAGUGGCAUCAUUUGAUUAUUAAAACUCCGGUGGUUAUGGAUGGGCAUGCGUCUGAUUAGCUAGUUGGCGGUGUAAUGGACCACCAAGGCGAUGAUCAGUAGGGGAACUGAGAGGUUGAUCCCCCACACUGGCACUGAGAUACGGGCCAGACUCCUACGGGAGGCAGCAGUAGGGAAUAUUGGUCAAUGGAUGCAAGUCUGAACCAGCCAUGCCGCGUGCAGGAAGAAGGCCCUAUGGGUUGUAAACUGCUUUUGCCAGGGGAUAAAAUUUCCUUGCGAGGAAAAUUGAAGGUACCUGGUGAAUAAGCCACGGCUAACUACGU